GUCCCUGUAGCGUAAUGGAUAGUGCGUUGGUCUUGUAAUCCAAAGGUCAUGGGUUAGAAUCCCACCUGGGAUG
rnacentral:tRNA from 1 species